rnacentral:pre_miRNA from 1 species
AGUUGGAUAGCUGGGUCAAACGGUGGUUCCAUUCAAAUUUUCUGAGCAAUCUCCACACUGCUUUACAAUGUGGUUGCACCAAUUUGCAGUCCCACCAGCAAU